rnacentral:lncRNA from 13 species
GAGAAGAGGGACUGAGAGUGAAUUAAGUUGACACUUAUGGAGGACAUAGCUGUUUGUGGCUAGUGUAAUUCAUUAGUAACUCUGCAUAUAAUUUAACCAUAGUGGUUUUUAGCUUCUUUUAAAUAAUUUCUUUGUUUUAUAAGGAUUUCCUCACCAAUAAAAUGAAAUAAGAUGCACCUACUUGCUAGGGUUGCUGUAAGAAAUAAAUGAAUUAAGAGCACACCUCUGGUGUCUAACAGCCAGGGUUUAAACCCUGGAUUUGCCUCUUAUUCUUUAUGUUAUUUGGGUCAAAUAACUGUCCUCUGCAUUCUUUAAUUACAUCUAUUGUGAAACAAGGCUAAUGAUGCUUCUUACUCACUGGUUUGAGUGAGGAUUAAAUUAAUGGACAUAUUUAGAGGGAUUAGAACAUUGCCUAGCUCUUGGGUUCAAUGGAUCUUAGUUAUUAAUUAUUAUCAUUAAAGUUAUACCUGGGGAAACUUUUAAAUAAUACACACCUUAACUCUCUUAUAUACUCUGAAUUGGCCUCUUAGGAACCUCUAGUGUUUGUGAAGUUCCUCAGUAUAUCUGAGGACAGACGAGUUUGGAAAUGACACUGAGGGAUGGGGAAACAGGACUGCUGGUGAAGCUGGCCAACCUCAAGAAGCCCUGACCGUGACUUCAGUCCUAGCAGCUUAUCUCUUAAGCUGUUUCUGGGCCUUCAUCCUUUUGCUCUGAGCUUGCAGCACUCCAGGAGACUCAGGCUGCAGUGAAUCUGGCAGUGACCUUGUUGAUACCUGAGAGUACCACCCCUCUGCUGCUGAAUAAUCUGUCAAGGGACAGACCCUCCUAAGAACUAUAUCCUUCUUGCAAUUAAAGGGAGAGAGGGAGCUAAUUUGAAGGAUUGUUUCCUAGACUUUUAUCUAUUUCUGAUAUUUUCCCGGCAUCUUUUGUGAAAAGUUCUAUAGCAAGAGUCUGCAAAAGAAAUAGAACAGAUGAUGGAAACUGAUGACUAAAGUCAGCUGUUCCCUAAAAGCAGCAAUAAUGUCAGAGUGCUAACUGGAUAAUCUGUUCUGUUUUGGGUUGUCUCUAUUUUUCUUCUAUCUGAAUUGUCACUGGU